GUUCUGCUAAUUUACCCAUUCGAGUAGUUUUCUUCGGCAAGCUUCCCAAGUAGAAAUUGACAAGCGCAAUAUAGGCCCAAGGGAGUGUAAAAGGUAAAAAUUUGCUCGAAUCGUGAGAUGGAAGAAAUUUUGCCGUAAGAAAGAGCAGGACGGCGAUAAAAGUAUAUGCUGGUAUUGGUAAACGUCACAAUCCUAUGGAUGCAUUUUCAAAACAAAAACACAUCGUAUUUCCUAACGAAUAUAGGCUGAACGCCUUUUCAAAUCUCCUUCGUGUUUUGAGUGUUUUGUGGCUAUGGCUUUUAUGAAUAGUACAAAUCGUUCAAAUGAAAGUACAGAGUCAUUCUCACGUGCUGAAGUUAAUUUGGGACAGUUUUAAAAGAAAUCAGCAGCAAAUAAGCCAGCAGGAAUUUAGAAGGACUAGCAAAUUGGAUAGUCGGAUACAGUGCUUAAAUCGGAAGUACAGGACAGCGUGCUAGAGGGUGAAUAGAUAUAAGAAAAGGAGUGUUUUUGGAAGAACGAUGCUUGGAAUCAAUCCGGAACGAAGGAAGGAGGGUAAAUAUUCUUGGGCUGAUAGUAUAUAGGCUAGAAUAGGCUAAAGACAUUGGAUUAUCUCUAAAAUUUAAUAGUUCAACUGAAAUUGAAAGAUAUGUUGCUUUUAACUUUAAUAUUAAUAAUAUUUGUUUUCUUUGCUUUGCUCUUCUUUGCCGGGACGAGUAGAAAAACAGUUGAUAACUGUUGUAGGAUGGCCGUUGAGAGCUUGCAAAAUGUUCUUCGAUAUUGUUCUCGCGUAUAUUUUAAUUAAAAGAAUGUUGAUUAGGCUAAAGUCUGAAACAAGACCCCCCCCCCCCCACUCACGGUCACUCAUCUGCGUGUCAAUUUUUCGUACAGGGUGGUUCGGAGACUAUGCAAUGUGGCCUGAAUUUUAUUUUUUUUACAAUUACUAUUAAAUUGUAAGGAGGUUUUCGCAUAGUGAAAAGUGAUUUAUUCAUCGAGGAACCAAGUUCCAUACGCUGUUUGUGAAACCGUAAAAUUUUCCUCAUUUUUGGCCCAACUUUGCCCCAUAGCUCCGCCGGUAUCCAAGAUAUCGCCAAACUUUCUUCUGGCCAUGGCUAGAUGGCACUUGUGGCUAGAUUUCGUCCAUGCACCACUAAUCGCUACCAUGUCUGUGGCCGGAGCUAUUCGCGAAAGCUCCAACGGAUCGCCAAUCUUUGACCUGUGGUCGAUAGAUGGCACCAAUUGCUACAUUUUCUUCUUCGACGGCCAUGCCCUCAGGUGUCUGUGUCUCGAAACAUAAUUAAAAAACACGCAACCGAUUUCGAACCACCCUGCACGAAAAAAAGUCACUCAAAUGAGUGCCCGUG